GACGAACGCUGGCGGCGUGCUUAACACAUGCCAGUCGAACGAAGAGCGAUGGAAGCUUGCUUCUAUCAAUCUUAGUGGCGAACGGGUGAGUAACGCGUAAUCAACCUGCCCUUCAGAGGGGGACAACAGUUGGAAACGACUGCUAAUACCGCAUACGAUCUAAUCUCGGCAUCGAGGAUAGAUGAAAGGUGGCCUCUACAUGUAAGCUAUCACUGAAGGAGGGGGUUGCGUCUGAUUAGCUAGUUGGAGGGGUAACGGCCCACCAAGGCGAUGAUCAGUAGCCGGUCUGAGAGGAUGAACGGCCACAUUGGGACUGAGACACGGCCCAGACUCCUACGGGAGGCAGCAGGGGGGAAUCUUCCGCAAUGGACGAAAGGCUGACGGAGCAACGCCGCGUGAGUGAUGACGGCCUUCGGGUUGUAAAGCUCUGUUAAUCGGGACGAAAGGCCUUCUUGCGAAUAGUGAGAAGGAUUGACGGUACCGGAAUAGAAAGCCACGGCUAACUACGUG
rnacentral:rRNA from 1 species